rnacentral:rRNA from 1 species
GAUUGCUGUGACGUUGGGUGGUUCGCCGCCUCCGAUAUUGCAAGAAGUCCAUUGAACCUUAUCAUUUAGAGGAAGGAGAAGUCGUAACAAGGUUUCCGUAGGUGAACCUGCGGAAGGAUCAUUG